rnacentral:rRNA from 1 species
AUGACUAAGGAUAACUUAGCCAAAAGAGAUAUUGAGAAACCCCCUGAAUGUGUCUACUGUACUGAUAAUGAAACCAUUGACCAUCUUUUCUUCGGAUGUGUAGUAGCCAAAAGUAUUUGGAAAUAGGUCUCAGAUCUAUUUUCUCUCGACCUGGGUUCAGAUUACCUCUCUGUUGCCAGGUUUUGGCCUGCCAACAAAAAACACACAGUGUUAAAUUCAGUAUGUGCAUGCAUUCUUUGGUCUUUGUGGAAAAAUAGAAAUGCUCAUGUGUUUAAUAACGCUGUGUGGAUUGACUUGAAACAGAUUUGGAGGAAAGUGUUGGGAUCAUUGAGGAGAUGGGCGAUCUUGCUCAAAGAGGAAAUGGUGCCUCUAUGGGACAAGAUAUCACACCAUAUUUCCUUGAUCUUGGAAUCACCGUUCCAAAUUCUGGUGGGGUGA